rnacentral:piRNA from 1 species
UAUGUUAGUUGGAAGGAUCAGGCUCGAGGC